ensembl:lncRNA
CGGGGAAACAGAGCACAAAUGGCUCAGAGUCGAACGCAAAGUAUAAAUAAAAGCUCAAUAAAUACUAGUGGAUUAAUCUUUCCGUACCUGUAGGCUUGACUUUUCUCUAGAUUUUUCUCCCCGAGUCUCUUCCUUCCGUUUCUUUCCGGAAACUACUUCAUUACCUUAAAUUGGCAGUUUCAGGUAAAGUAAUUUUGAACAGAAGCGACUUUCGUUUCCCUUACAUCUUGUUUCCCAUUCUGGAAACUUAUUUGCUGUCUGAGGAAGCCAAAUUCAAAGCACUCACUGCCACCUGAGCUCACACCUGGCUGCCUCCUCAGAAAGGAAAUGUUUUCUGGAAAACUUUCUACGCCAGUCAAUACGGGCAGAUUCUGAAGAUAACGAGAUAGGCGCACGUUUCUGUCAACCCAUUCGACGCUGAGUGGCAGAAAUUCUAUGAAGGGGUAAGGACGUCCGGGGAAUAUUUUGCAUCUCAGUUGCUUGGAGUUAACACUGGAUGCCCCCUCCCAGGCCCCGAAAGCUACGACAAGUGCGAAACCCGCCCAGGAGGAGCUUCUGCCGUCCCCGCUGAGCCACAGGUCCAUGGUCGCCGCGCCAAGGGGCCGGCUCUCCUCCGGCGCUCGAAAGGCUAGGCAGGGUGGGGGCGGGGUCGGCCGCGGCGUCACCACUGACGUAACCGCCCCAUCAGGCCGCCGCCGGGGUACCGGUGAGCGAGGGGGUUGGGGGAGCAGGAGCGGAAGGGAAGCAGGUAGGGAGGAGGGCGCGGGAGGAGCGCUAAGAUGGCCGCUCUGGCGAGGACUGGGCCUUGGGCGAGUUGGGAGAAGCAGAGAAAUGGGGACUUGAGGGAGAUGCAGCGUGGAGAUGUACUCGCAAAUGAUCGCGUCUCUGAUGCCUGCGGCUCCCUCUGCGGAGCUGGCGCUCUCGAGAUAAAGCGCAUCCUGCUCCUGGCUUUGAUUGCCGCCAGGUGAUGCUCGAAGCGCCUCUGACAUGCUUUGGAAGGGCCGUUCUAGUCCUCCUUUUAUAAGGAAUGUCU